rnacentral:rRNA from 1 species
CCCGGUGAAUUUUAUUUUAACGGCCGCAGUUAAGAGCUGUGCUAAGGUAGCGUAAUAAUUUGUCCUUUAAAUGAGGAAAGGAAUGAAUGGUUUGACGUAAGAAAUACUGUCUCUUAAACAUAUAGGAAUUUUCCUUUUUAGUGAAAAGGCUAUAAUAAUAAUAAAAGACGAGAAGACCCUAUCGAGCUUAAAUAGAAUUUGAUAAAAUUAUUUCUUUUGAAAGUUUAAUUGGGGCAAUUCAGAAAUAUAAGUAAAUUUCUAAUUUUAUAAGGAGCCAAAAAUUUUGAUAAAAAGAAAAAGUUACCGUAGGGAUAACAGCGUAAUCUUUUCCAAGAGAACUAAUUGAAGAAAAG